rnacentral:lncRNA from 1 species
CGACAGCCCGUCCGUCGGCAGCUUUCCAAGCGCCUGAUUGUGCCAUGGCAGCGAGUCCGGAAAUUGCC